GACUACGACUCUCGACAAUGGAUAUCUCGGCUCUCGCUUCGAUGAAGAACGUAGCGAAAUGCGAUACCUUGUGUGAAUUGCAGAAUCCCGUGAAUCAUCGAAUCUUUGAACGCAAGUUGCGCCCGAGGCCUAGGCUGAGGGCACGUCUGCCUGGGUGUCGUGAAA
rnacentral:rRNA from 2 species